UUUACUAUGUCAAUUCUGAUCUGGCAUUGCACUCAGGGCCUGUUUCUAUCAUGUCCACGUCGAACGCUAUAUACUAUGUACGCAACAUACGCUUCAUAGGCGACUGCCCUGUACAGGCGACGAACGAUUCAGCGUGUACACAUGGGUCAACAUAUAUCGCUUCAGCCCAGCGGUGCAUACCUGACUGCCCAGGACCAGUCUGCCCCACAGAUCUUGUCCACUGCAAUAUUUCAGUCGGGCCAUGCCAGGGCUGGACCAACCAAAUCCAAGGCAAUACUGCUACUUUCCAUUAUCUUGGACCAAUAAUGAAGCCGCUGGUCAAUCAGGUGCAAGGUGGCAUUGAACCAGUAAUUGUCUUCAG